GAUGAACGCUCGCGAUAGGCUUAACACAUGCAAGUCGAGGGGCAGCAUGGUCUUAGCUUGCUAAGACUGAUGGCGACCGGCGCACGGGUGCGUAACGCGUAUGCAACUUGCCUCACAGAGGGGGAUAACCCGUCGAAAGACGGACUAAUACCGCGUACACUUGGGAUAGGGCAUCCUGACCCAAGGAAAUGAAAUUCGCUGUGAGAUAGGCAUGCGUCCCAUUAGCUAGUUGGUGAGGUAACGGCUCACCAAGGCGACGAUGGGUAGGGGAACUGAGAGGUUGAACCCCCACACUGGGACUGAGACACGGACCAGACUCCUACGGGAGGCAGCAGUGAGGAAGAUUGGUCAAUGGGCGAGAGCCUGAACCAGCCAAGUCGCGUGAAGGAUGACUGUCUUAUGGAUUGUAAACUUCUUUUAUACGGGAAUAACAAGAGCCACGUGUGGCUCCCUGCAUGUACCGUAUGAAUAAGCAUCGGCUAACUCCGUG
rnacentral:rRNA from 1 species